GACGAACGCUGGCGGCGUGCUUAACACAUGCAAGUCGAACGGAAAGGCCCUGCUUUUGUGGGGUGCUCGAGUGGCGAACGGGUGAGUAACACGUGAGUAACCUGCCCUUGACUUUGGGAUAACUUCAGGAAACUGGGGCUAAUACCGGAUAGGAGCUCCUGCUGCAUGGUGGGGGUUGAAAAGUUUCGGCGGUUGGGGAUGGACUCGCGGCUUAUCAGCUUGUUGGUGGGGUAGUGGCUUACCAAGGCUUUGACGGGUAGCCGGCCUGAGAGGGUGACCGGCCACAUUGGGACUGAGAUACGGCCCAGACUCCUACGGGAGGCAGCAGUGGGGAAUAUUGCACAAUGGGCGGAAGCCUGAUGCAGCAACGCCGCGUGCGGGAUGACGGCCUUCGGGUUGUAAACCGCUUUCGCCUGUGACGAAGCGUGAGUGACGGUAAUGGGUAAAGAAGCACCGGCUAACUACGUGCCAGCAGCCGCGGUGAUACGUAGGGUGCGAGCGUUGUCCGGAUUUAUUGGGCGUAAAGGGCUCGUAGGUGGUUGAUCGCGUCGGAAGUGUAAUCUUGGGGCUUAACCCUGAGCGUGCUUUCGAUACGGGUUGACUUGAGGAAGGUAGGGGAGAAUGGAAUUCCUGGUGGAGCGGUGGAAUGCGCAGAUAUCAGGAGGAACACCAGUGGCGAAGGCGGUUCUCUGGGCCUUUCCUGACGCUGAGGAGCGAAAGCGUGGGGAGCGAACAGGCUUAGAUACCCUGGUAGUCCACGCUGUAAACGGUGGGUACUAGGUGUGGGGUCCAUUCCACGGGUUCCGUGCCGUAGCUAACGCUUUAAGUACCCCGCCUGGGGAGUACGGCCGCAAGGCUAAAACUCAAAGGAAUUGACGGGGCCCCGCACAAGCGGCGGAGCAUGCGGAUUAAUUCGAUGCAACGCGUAGAACCUUACCUGGGUUUGACAUGGAUCGGGAGUGCUCAGAGAUGGGUGUGCCUCUUUUGGGGUCGGUUCACAGGUGGUGCAUGCCUGUCGUCAGCUCGUGUCGUGAGAUGUUGGGUUAAGUCCCGCAACGAGCGCAACCCUUGUUCACUGUUGCCAGCACGUUAUGGUGGGGACUCAGUGGAGACCGCCGGGGUCAACUCGGAGGAAGGUGGGGAUGACGUCAAGUCCUCAUGCCCCUUAUGUCCAGGGCUUCACGCAUGCUACAAUGGCUGGUACAGAGAGUGGCGAGCCUGUGAGGGUGAGCGAAUCUCGGAAAGCCGGUCUCAGUUCGGAUUGGGGUCUGCAACUCGACCUCAUGAAGUCGGAGUCGCUAGUAAUCGCAGAUCAGCAACGCUGCGGUGAAAACGUUCCCGGGGCU
rnacentral:rRNA from 1 species